rnacentral:rRNA from 1 species
GAUGAACGCUGGCGGCGUGCCUAACACAUGCAAGUCGAGCGGCAGCGCGAGUAGUUUACUACUUGGCGGCGAGCGGCGAACGGCUGAGUAACGCGUGGGAAUUUGCCCCAAAGUGAGGAAUAACUGCCCGAAAGGGUGGCUAAUGCCGCAUAUGAUCUUCGGAUUAAAGGAUUUAUCCGCUUUGGGAGAAGCCCGCGUCGGAUUAGGUAGUUGGUGAGGCAAUGGCUCACCAAGCCGACGAUCCGUAGCUGGUCUGAGAGGAUGACCAGCCAGACUGGAACUGAGACACGGUCCAGACUCCUACGGGAGGCAGCAGUGAGGAAUCUUCCACAAUGGGCGAAAGCCUGAUGGAGCAACGCCGCGUGCAGGAUGAAGGCCUUCGGGUUGUAAACUGCUUUUAUGAUUGAGGAAUUUGACAGUAGAUCAUGAAUAAGGAUCGGCUAACUACGUGCCAGCAGCCGCGGUCAUACGUAGGAUCCGAGCGUUAUCCGGAGUGACUGGGCGUAAAGAGUUGCGUAGGCGGUUUGUUAAGUGAAUAGUGAAAUCUGGUGGCUCAACCAUACAGGCUAUUAUUCAAACUGGCAAACUCGAGAGUGGUAGAGGUCACUGGAAUUUCUUGUGUAGGAGUGAAAUCCGUAGAUAUAAGAAGGAACACCGAUGGCGUAGGCAGGUGACUGGACCAUUUCUGACGCUAAGGCACGAAAGCGUGGGGAGCGAACCGG